UGGGGAAUAUUGCACAAUGGGCGCAAGCCUGAUGCAGCAACGCCGCGUGCGGGAAGAAGGCCCUAGGGUUGUAAACCGCUUUCAGCAGGGAAGAAAAUGACGGUACCUGCAGAAGAAGGUGCGGCCAACUACGUGCCAGCAGCCGCGGUGACACGUAGGCACCAAGCGUUGUCCGGAUUUAUUGGGCGUAAAGAGCUCGUAGGCGGUUCAGUAAGUCGGGUGUGAAAACUCUGGGCUCAACCCAGAGAGGCCACCCGAUACUGCUGUGACUUGAGUACGGUAGGGGAGUGGGGAAUUCCUGGUGUAGCGGUGAAAUGCGCAGAUAUCAGGAGGAACACCAGUGGCGAAGGCGCCACUCUGGGCCGUAACUGACGCUGAGGAGCGAAAGCAUGGGUAGCAAACAGGAUUAGAUACCCUGGUAGUCCAUGCCGUAAACGUUGCGCACUAGGUGUGGGUCUCGAACCAACGAGAUCCGCGCCGUCGCUAACG
rnacentral:rRNA from 1 species